GAGAGAGAGAGAGAAUAAGUGGAGAACCUAAUUGUAAAGUGUUUGCAUAAUGUCUACUGAAGUUUGUUUAAAUAUUUUAAGAAAGGUUUAAGUUUUGCUUAAUAAUGAUGAAAAUAUGUUAUACAUCAACAAAAGGGUUCAACUUUUGUUGCUUGAGGCCGUUAGCCAGGACCAAACUUAUUAAGUCAGGUUGACUUUUUAACCUAAGCCCAUUGGACCAAUUGAAAAUCUACCCAAGCUUGUGCAAAAUAACAACCUUAUUAAGUCAGGUUGACUUUUUAACCUGAGCCCAAUUGAACCAACUGAAAAUCGACCCAAGCUUGUGCAAAGGUUAUUUUGGGCUUGGGUUGACCCUAACUAACUUGCAGCCAUAAUUUCAGUUGAUAAUUUUGAUACUUACUUCAGUGGGGGCCUACAGUAGUAAGCUUUGAUGGAGGCAGAAGAUAAUGACCGGUUCUCAAUGGUUGCCAUGAUAUGUUUCUAAUCAAAAGGAAAAAGAAUGGUGGUUAUAAUGGUGCAUAGGUGGUGAGAAGAGUGCCCAUGGAUUUUUCAGAUGACUGUGGCAAGAUCAUGAUGACUAUUACACUGGAGAUGAACUUUGCUAUGGUGGUUGGGUUGGAUUGAAGAAAAUAGCAAGAAAUGUUUGUCCCCCAAUGCCUUGGUUUGUAUGACAAGAAAGAAAUGUUAGGAUCUUUGAGGAAAAGUGGAGGAUGAUGAAGAUUUUGUAGGAUCUACUUCACUUCUUUUCUCCCUUCAAGGCCUCGUGUACCGAAGCCUUUCAAUGCAUUUC
rnacentral:lncRNA from 1 species